GUGCGCAGGCGCUUGCGGCUUCGCGGGGCUGACCGUGCGCUUCGCCUGCGGGGUCGUGCUGGGGCGGCGGGUACGCUAUUUGAAGAACAGGUUUCCAUGCUCUUAGAGGAGCAUCAGAAAAUGAACAAACCCCAGGUGAGUUCCUUUUUUAGAUUUUUUCAUUUUCCAGGGGAUUUGCUGGCUUUUAUAAAAUUCGUUUAUUCAGAUGGACAUUUAAAAAGCUACUUCAGGAUAAAUGAGGAGUGAGAGGCAACUGAGCAGUAGGCAGAGGUGGCUGCGGAACCCUGUGGUCAUGUGAUCCUACAAUCGUCAAAGGAGAGGGGCAGAUUUGUCUUUUUUUUUUUGACACAGAGUCUUGCUCUGUUGCCCAGGCUGGAAUGCAGUGGCGUGAUCUUGGCUCACUGCAACCUUCACCUCUGGGGUUCAACCAAAUCUCAUGCCUCGGUCUCCCGACUAGCUGGGACUACAGGUGCUCACCACCACACCCGGCUAAUUUUUGUAUUUUUUAUAGAGAUGGUUUCGCCAUGUUGGCCAGUCUGGUCUCGAGC
rnacentral:lncRNA from 10 species